rnacentral:tRNA from 1 species
AAAACUAUAGUAUAAUUUUUAUUAUAUCCCAUUGUCAAUGGGGAGAAUGUGGUUUUA